AAUAGAUACCCAGGUAGUCCACGCCGUAAACGAUGGGCACUAGGUGUGGGAGGUGUCGACUCCUCCCGUGCCGUCGCUAACGCACUAAGUGCCCCGCCUGGGGAGUACGGCCGCAAGGCUAAAACUCAAAGGAAUUGACGGGGGGCCCGCACAAGCAGCGGAGCAUGUGGUUUAAUUCGACGCAACGCGAAGAACCUUACCUGGGCUUGACAUGUUGGUGACCGCCGUGGAAACACGGUUUUCCUUCGGGACACCAUCACAGGUGGUGCAUGGCUGUCGUCAGCUCGUGUCGUGAGAUGUUGGGUUAAGUCCCGCAACGAGCGCAACCCCGUCUAUGUUGCCAUCAUUAAGUUGGGGACUCAUAGGAGACUGCCGGUGACAAACCGGAGGAAGGUGGGGAUGACGUCAAGUCAUCAUGCCCCUUAUGUCCAGGGCUACACACGUGCUACAAUGGCGCUUACAGAGUGUUGCAAUCCUGUGAAGGAAAGCCAAUCACAAAAAGAGCGUCUCAGUUCGGAUUGCAGG
rnacentral:rRNA from 1 species